AAUAAAAAAACACAGUUAGAGUCCUUUCCAAAACUGCGAGAGGAGACGGAGAGGAUAGUGACCACACACAUUCGGGAACGAGAGAGUCAAGCCAAAGACCAGGUUUUACUCUCACUAGAGAUUCAACUCUCUUACAUCAACACAAACCAUGAAGAUUUUAUCGGGUUCGCAAACGCUCAACAGAAAAGCAGUCAAACAAGUAAGAAGCCUUCAGCUGGGAACCAGGCUGCUGCCCGUCCUCCAUCCAGUCAAAUUGUACGAGUCCAGUGUCUGUAAGCCUUACCUACUGUCUACCAGUGUCACAUAGUCUCAUUUGUGUUUGUGGCUAUGUAUGUAUUGUAUGUCAGAAAGCCUGUAUGCCUCUGAACACAGCAAUCAAAAUCUUCCUCUUUCCCGCUUUAUUUUCUACCCUUUAUCUGGUUCUGCUGUCACAUAAAUCAAAGACAUUCUGAGACUCAGAAAUUCAGAUUUUUAUGACUCCUUCUAAAACAUUCCCCGAACGUUGUCGUACAGUGUUUUUUUCAUGCACUACAGUUCCCUAAAGACUCCUUAAUCAGUGUAUAUACACAACAGUCCAAAACAUGACUCAUUUGACCUUUGAAAUCUUAUUCUGAAUCCUGAUUUGCCCAGCGGUGUCUUUUAAAUCCUAAACCACAUUCUAAAACCUUAUUCUACUAAUUACCUGCUUUUUAUCCUCCUAUUCAUCAUUUUAAUGUCUCUGAAUCUCUGUACUGUAAUUCUGUUCUUAUAAUGUACUGUCUGUGAAUGAACCUACUUACAGUUUGCAGUACACGAGUAAACAGAGUCGUGUGUAUGUGGGCGCUAAUGUUAAAAACAGGUUGGAAUCUCAAACUUCUCUUUGAUCUCAGUCCAUUUGGCCUUUGUGUGUGUAUAUGUAUGCAUGUGUGUUGCAAUUACUGAUUUUGAAAAAAAGUGGUGCGUGCUGCAAACUUGAGGUUGGUACAGUCACAGAAUGUGUUUUAUUGUUUUUUGGAAGUUCAAUU
rnacentral:lncRNA from 1 species